rnacentral:rRNA from 1 species
AUUGAACGCUGGCGGCAUGCUUUACACAUGCAAGUCGAACGGCAGCGCGGGCUUCGGCCUGGCGGCGAGUGGCGAACGGGUGAGUAAUGCAUCGGAACGUGCCCAGUAGUGGGGGAUAGCCCGGCGAAAGCCGGAUUAAUACCGCAUACGACCUGAGGGUGAAAGCGGGGGACCGAAAGGCCUCGCGCUAUUGGAGCGGCCGAUGUCGGAUUAGCUAGUUGGUGGGGUAAAGGCUUACCAAGGCGACGAUCCGUAGCUGGUCUGAGAGGACGACCAGCCAAAGUGGGACGGGAACACGGCCCAACCCCCUACGGGAGGGAGCGGUGGGGAAUUUUGGACAAGGGGGGAAACCCUGAUCCAGCCAUGCCCGGGGGGGGAAGAAGGCCUUGGGGUUGUAAACCGCUUUUGUUGGGGAAGAAACCCUCUGGGCUAAUACCCCGGGGGGAUGGCGGUACCGGAAAAAUAAGCACCGGCUAACUACGU